rnacentral:misc_RNA from 1 species
AACGCACAUUGCGCCCAUUAGUAUUCUAGUGGGCAUGCCUGUUCGAGCGUCAUUUCAACCCUCAAGCUCUGCUUGGUGUUGGGGCGUCUGCAGCUCCGGCUGCAGGCCCUGAAAAACAGUGGCGGGCUCGCUAUAACUCCGAGCGUAGUAAUCUCUCUCGCUUUGGAAGUGUGGCGGUUCCCGGCCGUUAAACCCCCCAAUUUCUGAAUGUUGACCUCGGAUCAGGUAGGAAUACCCGCUGAACUUAA